rnacentral:rRNA from 1 species
UGGGGAAUCUUCCGCAAUGGACGAAAGUCUGACGGAGCAACGCCGCGUGAGUGAAGACGGCCUUCGGGUUGUAAAGCUCUGUGAUUCGGGACGAAAGGCCAUAUGUGAAUAAUAUAUGGAAAUGACGGUACCGAAAAAGCAAGCCACGGCUAACUACGUGCCAGCAGCCGCGGUCAUACGUAGGUGGCAAGCGUUGUCCGGAAUUAUUGGGCGUAAAGCGCGCGCAGGCGGUCACUUAAGUCCAUCUUAGAAGUGCGGGGCUUAACCCCGUGAUGGGAUGGAAACUGGGAGACUGGAGUAUCGGAGAGGAAAGUGGAAUUCCUAGUGUAGCGGUGAAAUGCGUAGAUAUUAGGAAGAACACCGGUGGCGAAGGCGACUUUCUGGACGAAAACUGACGCUGAGGCGCGAAAGCGUGGGGAGCAAACAGG